rnacentral:lncRNA from 1 species
UUAAAUAUUCUAAACCGAGUGCGCAACAAUGACAGAAUUUAGAAAACCAUCAAAAUAGUAUGAUUCUCCGUAUGUGAUUGGAAGAGUCAACUCGAACACUUUAAACUGAUCUGAACAAACUGCACGAGGCAUUGCAAAUGUUUACUCGGUGUUGUAUUGAUUCUUGACUGGCUGUUAAUUUUAUACAAGCUAAAGACGACCUUAUUUUGAAUAUAAUUUUGAAAGAGUCAACUCAGACCGCUAUUAACUGGUUAUGCACAAGGCAUUUUAGAUUUGCAAGCGUAGGGGAUGAAUCUUGACAGGCUGUUAAUUUUAUAGAAGCUAAUGUUGACCUUAUUUUAAAUAUAAUAGAGUGUUAUUGUCUGGAGGUGU